rnacentral:misc_RNA from 1 species
GAUGAGAACGUAGUGAAAUGCGAUAAGUAAUGUGAAUUGCAGAAUUCAGUGAAUCAUCGAAUCUUUGAACGCACAUUGCGCCCCUUGGUAUUCCGAGGGGCAUGCCUGUUCGAGCGUCAUUAUAACCCCUCAAGCUCAGCUUGGUGUUGGGGCCUGCUGCACUGGCAGCCCUUAAAAUCAGUGGCGGCGCCAUCUGGCUCUAAGCGUAGUAAUUCUUCUCGCUAUGGAGUCCUGGUGGAUGCUUGCCAUCAACCCCCAAUUUUUCUAUGGUUGACCUCGGAUCAGGUAGGGAUACCCGCUGAACUUAAGCAUAUCAAUAAGCGGAGGA